UUGAACGCUGGCGGCAGGCCUAACACAUGCAAGUCGAGCGGUAACACAGAGAGCUUGCUCUCGGGUGACGAGCGGCGGACGGGUGAGUAAUGUCUGGGAAACUGCCUGAUGGAGGGGGAUAACUACUGGAAACGGUAGCUAAUACCGCAUAACGUCGCAAGACCAAAGUGGGGGACCUUCGGGCCUCAUGCCAUCAGAUGUGCCCAGAUGGGAUUAGCUAGUAGGUGGGGUAACGGCUCACCUAGGCGACGAUCCCUAGCUGGUCUGAGAGGAUGACCAGCCACACUGGAACUGAGACACGGUCCAGACUCCUACGGGAGGCAGCAGUGGGGAAUAUUGCACAAUGGGCGCAAGCCUGAUGCAGCCAUGCCGCGUGUGUGAAGAAGGCCUUCGGGUUGUAAAGCACUUUCAGCGGGGAGGAAGGCGGGGAGGUUAAUAACCUCAUCGAUUGACGUUACCCGCAGAAGAAGCACCGGCUAACUCCGUGCCAGCAGCCGCGGUAAUACGGAGGGUGCAAGCGUUAAUCGGAAUUACUGGGCGUAAAGCGCACGCAGGCGGUCUGUCAAGUCGGAUGUGAAAUCCCCGGGCUCAACCUGGGAACUGCAUUCGAAACUGGCAGGCUAGAGUCUUGUAGAGGGGGGUAGAAUUCCAGGUGUAGCGGUGAAAUGCGUAGAGAUCUGGAGGAAUACCGGUGGCGAAGGCGGCCCCCUGGACAAAGACUGACGCUCAGGUGCGAAAGCGUGGGGAGCAAACAGGAUUAGAUACCCUGGUAGUCCACGCCGUAAACGAUGUCGAUUUGGAGGUUGUGCCCUUGAGGCGUGGCUUCCGGAGCUAACGCGUUAAAUCGACCGCCUGGGGAGUACGGCCGCAAGGUUAAAACUCAAAUGAAUUGACGGGGGCCCGCACAAGCGGUGGAGCAUGUGGUUUAAUUCGAUGCAACGCGAAGAACCUUACCUGGUCUUGACAUCCACAGAACUUUCCAGAGAUGGAUUGGUGCCUUCGGGAACUGUGAGACAGGUGCUGCAUGGCUGUCGUCAGCUCGUGUUGUGAAAUGUUGGGUUAAGUCCCGCAACGAGCGCAACCCUUAUCCUUUGUUGCCAGCGGUUCGGCCGGGAACUCAAAGGAGACUGCCAGUGAUAAACUGGAGGAAGGUGGGGAUGACGUCAAGUCAUCAUGGCCCUUACGACCAGGGCUACACACGUGCUACAAUGGCAUAUACAAAGAGAAGCGACCUCGCGAGAGCAAGCGGACCUCAUAAAGUAUGUCGUAGUCCGGAUUGGAGUCUGCAACUCGACUCCAUGAAGUCGGAAUCGCUAGUAAUCGUAGAUCAGAAUGCUACGGUGAAUACGUUCCCGGGCCUUGUACACACCGCCCGUCACACCAUGGGAGUGGGUUGCAAAAGAAGUAGGUAGCUUAACCUUCGGGAGGGCGCUUACCACUUUGUGAUUCAUGACUGGGGUG
rnacentral:rRNA from 1 species